UACGAAGGGGGCUAGCGUUGCUCGGAAUCACUGGGCGUAAAGCGCACGUAGGCGGCUUCUUAAGUCAGGGGUGAAAUCCUGGAGCUCAACUCCAGAACUGCCCUUGAUACUGAGGAGCUCGAGUCCGGAAGAGGUGAGUGGAACUCCGAGUGUAGAGGUGAAAUUCGUAGAUAUUCGGAAGAACACCAGUGGCGAAGGCGGCUCACUAGUCCGGUACUGACGCUGAGGUGCGAAAGCGUGGGGAGCAAACAGG
rnacentral:rRNA from 1 species